UACGUAGGGUGCGAGCGUUGUCCGGAAUUACUGGGCGUAAAGAGCUCGUAGGUGGUUUGUCGCGUUGUUCGUGAAAACUCACAGCUCAACUGUGGGCGUGCGGGCGAUACGGGCAGGCUGGAGUACUGCAGGGGAGACUGGAAUUCCUGGUGUAGCGGUGGAAUGCGCAGAUAUCAGGAGGAACACCGGUGGCGAAGGCGGAUCUCUGGGCCAUUACUGACGCUGAGGAGCGAAAGCGUGGGGAGCGAACAGG
rnacentral:rRNA from 1 species